CUGUUGUUUUGAUCAUGUCAGACGUUCAGAAGAAGUGGGAGGAUAGCUCUUGGGGAAGAAAACUACUCGUGAAGAAAAGAAGGGCAUCACUUAAUGAUUUUGAUAGGUUCAAGCUAAUGUUGGCUAAGAUAAAGAGAGCUGGAUUGGUGAGGCAAGAGCUUGCAAAGCUGAAAAAGAGUGAAUCUUAGAAAGUGUAUUUCUCUAGCGUCAAAUUUUGUUACUAGUUGAAGUUAUCAGUUUUGGAUUUUGUUCAAUUCUGUUUCUCAAGCCUCAGGAGUUCGGGGCUGUUCGGGGUUGUUUUGAGGUUUAUGGAAUUCUGGACAUCUAGUGUAGCGAGUUUUUACUUGAUUUCUUCACAAGAUGCCUACAUCACUCCAAUUAAGCAAGCAUGUAUCUGAAUCUGCUGAGUGCUGAUGUUUUUCUACUCAACUGUUAAAAUCGGGUUUCUGUGGCUAUGGAUAUGGUUUUCGAUUUCUAUUUGCUUUUCUGAAUUUUAUGUCUGGAUUCCCUUGAGUGUCCCAUUCAUUGAUGAAAUAUUAGAUACUGCAGUUGUGCUACAAAUUAAGAUGAUUUCAAGCAUGGUUUCAUGA